rnacentral:pre_miRNA from 1 species
AAUAGAUGACGCCGUUGAUUUUUUCUCAUGUGUUUGACCAUUCGUUUUAUUUAAAAAUUUUAUGUAAUUAUAAUUUAUUUUGUUAUGAGUUGUUUUAUCACUUAUAGUGCUUUAAGUGUGAUUUAUAUCUUAUGCAUUUGCAUAAAAUUUUUGAAUAAAACGAAUAGUCAAACAUAUGAGAAAAAGUCAACGGCGUCAUCUAUU